AUAUCAAUAAGCGGAGGAAAAGAAACUAACAAGGAUUCCCCUAGUAACUGCGAGUGAAGCGGGAAGAGCUCAAAUUUAAAAUCUGGCGUGCCUCUGGUCGUCCGAGUUGUAGUCUGGAGAAGCGUUUCCUCGUGGUGACCGUGUAUAAGUCCCUUGGAACAGGGCGUCAUAGAGGGUGAGAAUCCCGUCUUUGACACGGACUACCAAUGCUUUGAGUA
rnacentral:rRNA from 1 species